GACGAACGCUGGCGGCGCGCCUAACACAUGCAAGUCGAGCGAUGAAAUUUUAACCGAUCUCUUCGGAGCGAAGAUAAAAUGGAUUAGCGGCGGACGGGUGAGUAACACGUGAGAAACCUGCCUUUCACAAGGGGAUAGCCUCGGGAAACCGGGAUUAAUACCCUAUGACACAUUUCCUUCGCAUGGAAGAAAUGUUAAAACUCCGGUGGUGAAAGAUGGUCUCGCGCCUGAUUAGCUAGUUGGUGGGGUAACGGCCCACCAAGGCCAUGAUCAGUAACCGGCCUGAGAGGGUGAACGGUCACAGUGGAACUGAGACACGGUCCAAACUCCUACGGGAGGCAGCAGUGGGGAAUAUUGCACAAUGGAGGAAACUCUGAUGCAGCGACGCCGCGUGAGCGAUGAAGGCUUUCGAGUCGUAAAGCUCUGUCCUAUGGGAAGAUAAUGACGGUACCAUAGGAGGAAGCCCCGGCUAACUACGUG
rnacentral:rRNA from 1 species